UACGAAGGGGGCUAGCGUUGCUCGGAAUCACUGGGCGUAAAGGGUGCGUAGGCGGGUCUUUAAGUCAGGGGUGAAAUCCUGGAGCUCAACUCCAGAACUGCCUUUGAUACUGAAGAUCUUGAGUCCGGGAGAGGUGAGUGGAACUGCGAGUGUAGAGGUGAAAUUCGUAGAUAUCCGCAAGAACACCAGUGGCGAAGGCGGCUCACUGGCCCGGUACUGACGCUGAGGUGCGAAAGCGUGGGGAGCAAACAGG
rnacentral:rRNA from 1 species